GGCUGUAACUAUAACGGCCCUAAGGUAGCAAAUUUCCUUGUCGUCUUAAUAACGACCUGCAUGAAACAUAGAACGAUUCGAUAGCCUCUUGCACACACAUCAUGGUAAAAUAUUCAUCAGUACAAAUAAUAUGCUGCCUCAGUAAGCAUCUAACUAAAGGACAAAAAGACCCUUUGAAGCUUUAUAGGGAUAAAACUUUAAUUGGGGCGAUAACCUUAUAUAAUCCACCUAAGGUGAACAAAGUGAUACAAGGACCCGACAAGUAAUUUGCCCAACUAAUAAGUGCAAAGAUACAUGUUUUGCUUAAUGGUCCAAUAAGUCUUUCCCAGUACUUAAAUGCUAUCUUAAUGAGCUUUAAAUUAAUCUACCAACACCAAGCUACUCUACGGAUAAGAGGCUUAAUUUCCGCAAUACUCAAGGUCACAUUAUCAAGAAAAAUGCACCUCGAUGUCGGCUUAUCAUCACCAAAAUAAGUAGUUAGGUUAUUGGUGGGAGUGCUCAUCCCGUAAAUCGGUACGUGAGCUGGGUUCAAUACGAUGG
rnacentral:rRNA from 1 species